rnacentral:rRNA from 1 species
UUAUGGAAGGGCCGUAUUUAUUAGAUAACAGACCAAUAUUCUUCGUGUCUAUUGUGGUGAAUCAUAGUAACUAAUCGGAUCGUAUGGGCUAGUCCCUCGACAAACCAUUCAAGUUUCUGCCCCAUCAGCUUUCGAUGGUAGUGUAUUGGACUACCAUGGCUUUCACGGGUAACGGAGGAUUAGGGUUCGAUUCCGGAGAGGGAGCCUGAGAAACGGCUACCACAUCUAAGGAAGGCAGCAGGCGCGUAAAUUACCCAAUUCUGACUCAGAGAGGUAGUGACAAGAAAUAACGGGCCGGGA